rnacentral:rRNA from 1 species
UGGGGAAUUUUCCGCAAUGGGCGAAAGCCUGACGGAGCAAUACCGCGUGAGGGAGGAAGGCUCUUGGGUUGUAAACCUCUUUUCUCAGGGAAGAAAAAAAUGACGGUACCUGAGGAAUAAGCAUCGGCUAACUCCGUGCCAGCAGCCGCGGUAAUACGGAGGAUGCAAGCGUUAUCCGGAAUGAUUGGGCGUAAAGCGUCCGCAGGUGGCGAUGAAAGUCUGCUGUUAAAGAGUGAGGCUCAACCUCAUAAAAGCAGUGGAAACUACAUAGCUAGAGUACGUUCGGGGCAGAGGGAAUUCCUGGUGUAGCGGUGAAAUGCGUAGAGAUCAGGAAGAACACCGGUGGCGAAAGCGCUCUGCUAGGCCUGUACUGAC